GUACAAUUUACACCGGGUAGUUUCAGACAAGACAUCGGAUGGCUGACUCCACCCGGGUGUCAGAGUGGCCCGGUAUUAAAAAGAAGCUCAACUUCUGAUAAGGUAAGUUUAGUAAGAAACGAAACUUUUGCCGUGGAUAAGAAAAAAAAAUUCCCAAUAUGCACACAUAAUAAUAAUAUUUAGGUUUUACAGUAAGUCCUGUCUUCCAGAAAUGUAUGAACCAGUUUACAUUUAUAAUUUUUCUGUGUAUUCAUUAUGUUAUUAGAGAUUUUUGUGUGGAGUAUGAGCCAUACCAGACAAGGAUGUAAGCCCUUGCUGGACAUGCAUGUAAACACUGUAUAAGCUCUUUUUUGUAUUGCAGCGUGCUAUAAAACGAGAUCAUUUUCACUAAAUGAAAGAUUAAUCAUAAUAUGAUUUAGUUAUCACAAAAUGGACUCACGUUUUGGUGAAAUCUGAGUAGGCCUACCUUAUUAUUAUUGUUCUCGAUCACACAAGGUUAUAUGACCUGCAGUGAACACAGGCUGUAGUUUGCUUGCCUUUCAACUAUUUAUCUAAUAUUCGUAAUACCUGCACUUUUGAAAGGUGCCAGGACUGAAAAAAGUUUGAGAAACUUUGAUCUACACUACAACUUCCUUUUGCCCCUGCACGUUUUUGCACAUUUAUCUUAAAUAAUAAUGUGAAAGUUAGAGCUUAUUAGGGAAAGGGCAGGGCACACCACACAAUCUGCCAUGAAGACAAAAAGAGAGGGUGCGCUUCAUCCACCUUUUAGCACAAAAGGAGCCCAGCGUGAUAGGUGGCACAGUAAUCAUCCAGUCUUGAUUUUAUUUUAUUUAUUUAUUUUUUUUUUAAUAAAUUGUGCUGCCACCAAGGACGGUCAAACAGAUUUCAAUGUCUGGACACACCCUGCUUGAAAAAUGUGCAUGUAAUGUUUCUUUGAUACUUGCCUGUUUUGUACAGAGUGAAGAGGGAGUAGAGCAGUGUUGUAGAGGAGUAGUUUUUUGGAAUAUGAAAGUAAAACUAAAUUGCUUUACAGGAAUCAAUAAUGCUGUAUAUUUCAGUGCAUAUUCGGGACUCACUCUGAAUUUUGACAAAUAACAGAGGUACACACUGGUAAAUUUUUUAUUCAUACCCCUGACUAUUGUUAUCUAUGAUUUGUAUUCAAAUCUCUCCAUCCCUCCAUCAUUUACUCCUCCUGAUAAAAUGUUGUUGUUUCAUGUUGUUUCUGGUGGUCAGGACAUAAAAUGGUAGCUGUACACAAUCAUGGUUGUGUCUGCGGACGUGUAGUAGGAGCUACUUUAUUUCUCACAUUAGGGGCUAAACAUGUAUCCUCCUGCUUUUAGACGGCUACAGAGAUUUAAUAAACAAAAGGAGAAACUUCAUGAAGUAUGAAGCAUCUGCUGAAGACAGAUUCUGAAGAAUAAAAAUAAAUGGAGACUGAUAUAUCAGCAUUCCUAAUCGAUUAAAAAACUGUUUAAAAACCUAAUUCAAGCACAUAUAUCAGAGAGUGUUUAUCAAUUCUUGAUCUCAUCACCAAUAAGAAUUUUCUCUGAGGCUGUGAAAAUGGUUUUAGAUGAGUAGAAGGUUGCUGAUCAUUUUUCUAAGAUCUCUGACACAUUUUUCUCCUGAAAUUACUAACACUUUUUGUGCUGUCUCCUUUGAAUUAACCUCUUUUCCUACCUGUGUGCCAAUUGCUUUGGGAUUAGCUCUAAAAUAACAAAAAGGCAGGCUAGGCUAAUUUCAGGAUCAGAAAAGAAAAAAAUAUUUUAAGUGCUCCCUGUGCUUUUUUCCAACAAAAUAAGCCCUCACUUUCUACAUCUCUUCCCUGGACGACAGAGUCAGAUUAUGAGUUUCCUUGUGCUAAUUAUGAGCUGUUUGAAAAUAAGUUCACUGAGACAUUUUAUUUUGUACCAAUAAAAGGUUGGCUCUUACCUACUGCUGCUAGGGCUAAGAACUGUAAAAUCGUAAAACAUCUGAUAAAGUUUUGCCUUAAUGUUAAACUGCCUCCAGAGAGUGGAAGUCACUCUGUGUCACAAGUCUGUUGAAAUCUGAUUUAUUUUAUCAGUAUGACUAAAAAUUAAUAAAGUUUGCUGUGAUUUUGGAUUAGUAAUUGCUUGCAUUAAAAAAGUACAAAUCAAACAAACAAACAAAGGAAGUUCUAGUUUCAUGUUAACAAUCAAGUUAUACACCAAGAAAGCAAAAAUUAAGCCUGCCUGAUACCAAAGACAAUAAACAGAUGAAUUUAGCUGCAAUAACUCCAAAGUAUGAUAAAAUUACAACAUUUUUGAUGCGGAGCUGUAAAUUUAAAUGCACAAAUUCUUUGUUGCGGUUUCACUGAAUCAAAAAGUCAGAUGUCAAGUUAAGUCUGGCUUGUUCAACUAUUUGAGCCAUUUGCUAUGAUUUCAAAACAACAAAUGGUCAGACAUGUAAUGAGCACAAAGUAAAAGUAUAAAAAUGAAUAGUCCUGGUUUCACUGUAUCUAUCGACUAGCACCCUGGUUCAAAUCAUACAAAGUUUCUUCUUUAAACAUAUUUUGGUCCUACAUAAUUGCAAGCCUGAAGUCAACUUAGAUUACAGUUAUUCAGAAGCAAUCAAUGGUUUCAAAGAGUGCUGAAAUGUCAACACAGUUCAGAUAAAACAAACAUACAGUUAGCUUCACUGAAACAUAAACCCAGCUGGGUUGGUUGUGUAGUCUAAAGUAAAUAACUAUGUUUCUGAUUUUACUGCAGGCCAUGAAUAUGGCAACUAAAAAAUAAUUCAAAUCCAAUAAAUGGCUCUAAAAGAGGCUGAAUUAUGAGCAAAAUACAAACACAACUUCCAGUUUAUAAAUGGUCCUUGCUUCACUGUAAAAGACAGGUUCCAUUGGACUCACAUUUUGCCCACCAAGUGCCAUAAAGCUCAGAUGAACAAAUUCAGCCGUGAUCCUACAGCAACAAUAGUCAAUGAAAAACUCAAUGACCAUUGAGUGUUUAAGUACAAAUGAGGAGCACACAAAUGCUGAGUCACAGUUUCACUGCAUUAAGCAGGUCAUGGUGAAGUUGGUGUCUUCUAUUCUUUUAAAAUUACUUUUUUUUCCCGCUACCAGCUACUAUCUUUUUAAAAACCCAUUAUAAAAAAAAGAAACCAAAAAACUUAGAUUCUUACAUCAAGAGCUUUGCUGACAGAUGAAACACUUUGGUUGCAUUUGAAAAACAAGAACACAUGAGCAUUGCACUCUAUAAAACCAAAGGAUAAAAAUGAACAUUUUUUUUCUAUUUGACACAUUCAUACUGGUUGCUGCAUCUCCUUGACAAAAAGUCAUUUUUGUCAUAUGCAACAUGUCAGAGAUUCACUGCUAUAGAUAUUAUUAAAUGUAUUAUUCCACAUGCCUGUCACAUGCUUUCAAAUGGAGAAGCUCUUGGGAUUCAUAUUUCACUGACUGCACCUUUAACCUCUGAAGGUGUCUCAUCUGCUCUAUCUUUUUGCUUUAUUCCUCUGUGUGCUUUGUCCUCCAGGCCAGGCCCAAAUCACCUCCAACACACACACACAAACACAAACACACACUCAACCCCACUCCAUGCACUGUAUGCAUGAGUGGUGUCCACUGAACUCUGGCUAUGCCACAAGAGAGCUCUGCUUCUGAGAAAAGUGAGAGUGAAAGAAUGAUUCACUCAGUGUCUCCCCUACACACACACACACACACACACACACACACACACACACACACACACAUUCAGAACAAAAGCAAAACAAAAAAAAACACUCCCUAGGACCACACUGCAGGGCAGAGCUUGUAAAACACAAUGCAUCAGUUUGAGUUUUAUUUAUGUGAAUUUCUCAUGUUUGACUUGUCAGCCCUUAUACUGCUCUGACCAUCAUAAACCACAUUACAAGUGAACGCUCUUUGGAUGACAUUACCACGGGCAAAGACAAAGAAAUAUGAACCAAACUGCUUGGAAAUCCACUAGAAAUGGGAGGCAAACAACUCUCAUGCACACAACAUUACUGAAAGAACUACAAAUCUACCAGUCCCCUGCAAACAUCAGAGAAGAAAAAAACAGCAUAUCUCUGUUUUAAUACCCCUUAAGAGAAAUCAUAUUCAACAUGGGGUUUGUUAUCUUGUUUAGAUGUUACUUUGCAGCUUUUUAUUCACCUAAAUUUUAUUAGUACUGGUCUGCAAAAAAUUAUUUUAGCCCAAUUCCACUGGAGUUAAAACAUUGCAUAAAUAGCUGAUAAAAACAGAAUUUGAUGAUUUGCAAAUAAUUUAAACCCCUUAUUUAACUCAAAACAGAGCAAAGACAGCAAAUGUUUACACUUUAUUUUUUGAUAAAAUAUAUAUGCUUAUUUUAUUUAUGAUGCCAGCAACACAUUUAAAACAGUUAAGGGACAACAUAACAGUUAAAAAAGUUGUGCUAAAAUUUUCAGUGAGGCUGAGUCUUUCAGAGAGAAAGAUGGAAAGAGGCUCAGCACUCUGUGAGUUACUAUGUGAACGAAUACCUCAACAGUACCAGUAAAAUGGAUUUCAUCAUCCAGAGCACAAAACAUCAUUAAAAGAUUCAGAGAAUCUGAAAAAAUCUGUGUAUAAAAACAGGACUCAGUCUUGGAAAUUACUGUAUGGAUUUAAAAUCACUUCCAAGAACCACUGUCUGUGAACACACUUCAUCACUGCAACUAGAGAUUCGGGUUAAAACUGCACCAUGCAAAGAGGAAAACACAUUGCCCUGUGGUCUGACCAAUCAAAGUCUGAUAUUCUUUGUGGGGGAAAAAAAGCCAGUUCACUAAAAAGAAGAGGGACCAUUUGGCUUGUGCACAGCUAUAAACCAGCAUCUCUGAUGGUAUGGGGAUAUAUAAGUGUCCAUGUCAGUGUCCAUGGGUAGCUUCCAUACCUGUGAAGGCUCCAUUAAUACUGAACAAAAUCUACAGGUUUGAGAUCUGCUGUCAUCCAGACAAUGACUUUUUCAUGGAAGACCUUCAUAUUUCAGGAAGACAAUGACAAACCACAUUCUGCAGGGAUUACAACUGCUUGUCUCUGUAGUAGAAGAGUCCUGCUGUUUAACUUGCAUUAUGCAUCAGCAUCAUAUUGGUGUCCUGGUAUGUCAUGUCAUGUCCUAUCAUAGUAUUGAAGAAGCAUUAGAGGAACAGCAUGUAAACACACAGCAAGGCACACACUCUGUGAAUAACACGUUGUAGAAUCAACACAAGAGCCUAAAUUCCUUAUCUUAACUUUUCUUACCUGCCUGAGAAGUGUUUCCUGACCAAAAGUGACCCUGCAUUCAUGCAACUUUUGAAUGUAUUGCAUGAGAAAAAAUGGCUGCCAUGGAAACUCAAAAGGACAAGACAAAGAAACUCCUCUUAAGAUCUGUAAGUGCCCUCGUUUGGCUUUCAACAAAAACAAACAAACAGAAAAAAAAGGUUAAAAAGGUACAUGUAAGAGAGGACAGAAAGGAAAGCCAACACGUAAUCAUUGAGAGCAACAGAAUAGACGUCAGGAAUUACAGUUUUGUAUUUCUAACUCAGUGAGUAUGACACACAAUGAGUAUCAUUUCUGGAAGGUUUAUUGCAAGGUUGCAUACACAGAACAGCUUCUCUGUGAAAAAAAAGACCAAACUUGGAACAAAACAGGAGAUUUAAGGCUAACACUCCUAUUUUGACUUAAAGAAACAGGUGUGUUCUCAGGGUGAAGUAACAUCGUUGAUGAAAAACAAAGCUACAUGCCUUUUCAGGAGAUUUUUUUGUACCUAAAAUCACCAGACUUUUUGAUUCUUCUAGCCAAAGUAGAUGAUAAAAGAUUCCAGACGAAUGAAUUUCCCUUUGGGGAUCAAUAAAGUUCUUGUAUUGUAUUGUAUUCUUGUAUUUUAAAGCCAUCAGGUGAGUCAAAUACCUGCUUGAACCUGGCAAGAAAACAAAUUGGGUCAGCCCUCUGAAACAGAACACUGAACAUCACAUCAAUUUUACCGUUUGUAAAGAGCUGGCAAAGGCCCUGCAGCUACCAGAGCAAAAUUCAAAUAAUGUCAUGAAGUAUGUCUAAGAAUUGUCAUUUUCAGGGAACAAAAUAGUCAGUGGUGGGUAUUUUUCUAGUUCUACUUUGUGCCAGUGUGUGUGGGCGAGUCAAAGGAGACUCAGUGUGACAGAGUCUAACUGAGAAGCACUUCUGCCUCUCAACAGAAACAAUAAAGGAGCUCCUCGGUAUCUCCUGUGGCACGCGGGGGCCAUUUGUUUUUGUCACAGGGCUGCUCAGCACCCUGCUAAUGUGCUUCCAGGAUGCUGCUUUCGGCUUUUCCCUCGAGGCGGAAAUCCAUCCUAAUUAUUCACAUUUUGAAGUGAGUUCCGUGGUGGAGACCUUCUCCCACAGUGCAGCCAGCGUCACAUACAUCUUAAUAACUCACCACCCUGAAAACUGCUGCCAGUCUGCUACACACUCCCAACAACUCUUUGUAAAACCAGUACAGAGUGUGUGCUAUUUAUUUAUAGAGGUGUGUGUGCGCAUACGCGUGUGCAUGGGAAUAUUGAAUCUUUCCUGUACUGUGUAGUGAGUUCAUGAAUCUACGUUGUAGAGCACAAGAGUGUGUAUGAUUUAACCACUAUAAGACAGGCAAUACGUGUCAUGAUUUAUUGCAGGCCUUAGUGUGUGUCAUUCGCGAACGAUUCGUCCAAAAGAACCGAGUCUUUUAAGUGAACGUACUGAACCGAAUCACUUCCUCGAGUGAUUCAUUCAUUUCUCACUUCAGUUGAGCUGAAGUGAGAAACAGCAUUGCAAGGCCAGCAGCCGGCGAACGAGGAACCACAUGCACAUGCACCGAUGCCUGAAUCACUUGGUGAACGAAUCACACAUUGAGCUACACUCUCUGGAAUCAUUUUUGUCGGGCAAAACUACCUUUUUUAUUUUAUUUUUUACUGCUAAAUUGCCACCACAACAACUUGCAUACAAUAGGACACAGCAUGUAAACAAAUAGUGCAGUAAACCCGCAGCAUCCUAUCGUGGCAGCGGUUUGCUAGGGAAACGGUGCAUGUUCAGUGUGAUUUCCUCUAAACGUACGCUGAACAAAUCGCUCACUGAGCCCAAUUUACUGAGCAGACCUGAUAAAUGGCAUACAAUAGGACAGUACACUUAAAACAUCAUGACCUUUGCCAAAGCAACACAGCCAAACACUAUCGUCUCCCAGUCCCAGAAACUAUGAAUUGAACUGAAUCCUGAAACAUUCAGCUGUGUAUCAGUUCAGCAGGUCGGGGUCGCAGGCCUCUCCUGCCAGGUGUUAAGUGAUUUGGUGAACGAUUCUUUUCAAGGAAUCUUUUUAGUGAACUGAUUCUAGUGAUUCAGUACAUUUAAAAGAACUGCCAUGCCCAUCACUAGCAGGCCUCUUACUACAUUGUCCUGUUUAAAUACAUAUUUUUACACUUUACUGGAUUUCAUCUCAUGCCAAGUAUAAUAAUUUCAGCAGAGGCCCUACAUUUUAAAAGAUGGGGAUUUAGGUAGAGCUGUGUGCUUGGUCAAAUUACAAUUUUAAUUAUCAUCAUGGCUCCCCGUGAUCAUAAAAAUAUAAUAACCUAUACCGGACAAUCUGCCUGCAGCAUCCUGCUCACAAUGUCCUAUAAAGUGAGUGAAGUGCACCCUGCAUCUCUGCCUUUACAGCAAACAGGCAUUAAAGGUCUCCAUCACUACGACAGAUCUUCAUCAUUCAGAAAAAUAAUGGAAAAUAAAAAAAGUGCACAUGUUUUUGUUGUAGUCCCAUUAAGGCUUCCAGUCUAACGAUUACAAAAUAACCGAAUUAACCUUCUAUACCUCUCACUUGGGUCAUUUUUCUUCACAAGCCACAAUACAGCUGUCAUUUUUUUACAGCACACCCCUCAUGCUGCUUAUGAGUAAAUAAUGAUGUAAUCCGACUUUGACAGCUAUUGAUAGCAUUAUAUCAUGAUCAAACCAGCGUGAAAUUUGAGGUAUGGAUGCUAAGACGAGGUACAUGAAUACCCAAGGAGCUGGAUAUGAGUGAGGGAGGUAAUAGAGUGGACACAAGUGAAUCGGAUCAGGUGGACAUUUGUGAGGAGAAUUAAAAAGCCCAAAUUACUAAAUGCUAAUAAAGAUAUUUAAACAUUUAUUUUUACAAGCCUCCAUCAUGACCUCAAGAAUAGAUGAAAAUUAACCAACUCCCUCACUUCUAGAAAUUAUAUAUUUGCAUUGCUGAUGCUGUUGGUUAGUAGUCUUUUCUUUUAAACACAAAUUAGUGCAACACACCUUCUUCGGGAGAGUUGUAAUUGAUCAGUUCCAGCUAAUUCAGCAUGCCAGCAUUGACACGUAAUUUGUCAAAAAGCUCUGAUGUUUGAGACAUUGAAAAAAAUGGUCAAAAAUAAAUGGAGAUGGGCUUAGCUGAGUGAAGUGGGGGACAAUGCAAAACCUGUCAGUUCAUGGUGCAAAAAAUUAAACUGCCUGGGGUGUGCAUGUGCGUGGUUUGCCACAGAAAAAAAUUUAAACAUCCUAUACAGCAGUAACAGCAAAAAAGUGCUGAUGUGCCAUCAGUCGGAAAAUGCACACAAAGCUGCCGUUCUUGCUCUGCUGCACACCACCUCUCUGCCCGGUGCUACAACCACCACAACAGAAGCCUACAUAUCUAUGGCUGACUGUGUGUGCAAACAGAAAGUCUGCAUAUGUGACUUUAUAGUGGAGCAUCACCAGUCUCUAACAAUGUCAAGGCCACUAGUUGAGCAAGUGAAGUCGGUUGCUGAGGAUCAGAGUGCACAGCAUUUUGUCUGUAAACUACAGGAGGUUGUUGCCCAACACACGCUUGUAAAAAAAACUCCAUGUUUGAAUGGGAAUUGCAAAAAACAUCACUCCAACUUCACUGUAGAUUUUUCAUGCCAGCCCUUUAGCAUAAUUUCAAAGUGAGGUCAGAAGGAUGUGUGUGAGAGUGCAGCAGAUAAUCUCAGAAAAUAGACUCUGAGGUUUCUUGUGAGUAAAUAGAAACUUAAAAACUAAAAAGAACAAACCACCCUGUUAUAUAAUAACCAUUAUGUUUUGCAUAUCAAACCCUUUGGUCUGAUAUGCAUACCAGUGUGAAGGGGCGGUUCACUGGUGCUUACAACCUUAUAACUUAAACUCUUUUUCUGUGAUCAAUAGAUAAGAACACAACAACUUCUGAAGCUGCAAACACAUCUGCAAUCAAGGCAUUUACAUCUUUUCAACAACGUGGAUAUACUCAUAAUAUUAAUAUUAUUGCUGCAGUCAUAGCCGUUGUUCUCUGUGUGGGUGAUCUAAUGUCUCCUGUUGAGAAUGAAAUUAACUGAGCUAAUUUAUUUAAAGAUAAGUUAAAUUGGCUCUUACUCAAAGUUUUUUUUUUAAUAAAUGUUGAUUAAACAAUGACUUUCAAAUAUUUACAGCCUUUAUUCCUCCAAUAACCCCAUUUCCACAAUUGCCUUUUAUUGCUUUUGUUAAUUUUUUUAUUGCUUUUGUGACUCGUUCACAUCAUUAUUGCCUUUAACCUUUGUAAUUGUAUUUUUUAUUCAUGUUUAUUUCUUACAUUUCUUUAAUUGUUUAUACCCUUGUUGUUGCUUUUGUUUCUUCCUGUUUCAUUUGUUUUUCUCUUGUUUUUCCCCGCAGCUGCUGUUUCCUCUCUGCUGUAUUUAAACUGCUUCUUUUUGUACCUCUUGGUUUCAGUCCAUGUGUUGGGCUUGUCUGAUGCUUGGGUCAUUUCGCUUUGUUAAUGUGUCAAAGUUCAUUUUAAACUCUCAUUUUUAAAGGGAAAUAUAAGCGUUUUUAAAGUGAGGAUGAAUGUGUUACAUGAAAGAGUAUUAGCUACCAUGGGUAUGGGUCAGCUCCGCCCCUUAAAUGAUAAACUGCAAGGAUACAGUAACUUGUACGCAAGCUAGGCUACAGGCUUUUUUUGCAGACAUUGCAGACUCUGCCAUGUCAAUGAGCUAAUUUUAAAAGAGACCCUGACUCAAGCACUCAUCUCAGUUUGAAAACAUCUUCAGCACUUCGCUUUGCCAUCAGAAAAUCCAUUUAAUUUUGCAGCAUUUAUAGACGCAGCACACACAUCCAUAUGCAGCAUGAUUAGCUCAUCGGGGACAACAGUAUACUAGAAACUGAUAUAUCGAAUAUUUUGACAUUUUUGCAUAAUGUUAAUCAUUGUAUGCCUCAGACUAACCUGCUGACACAGUGAUGUUUGUAGAGUUUAACAUUUCAGCUCAGUCUUCCCCCUUUAGCAGCUUCAGUGUGUUUUGAUGAGGUUAAAAGUAUCCUGUGGACCAUGAAUUGUGUCAUUAUGCUGAAAAAAACAAAAAAAAACUGAGAGGUCACAAAGUUCUGUGGUAGAUUUGUUUUUCUGUUUCCAAAAGCAAUGCAGAGACAGCAUUUCAUAUUUUAUGCUUUUGUUUUAUCACAUUCCUUUGAUCGUUUAUCCUGUUGGUCAGACAGCCAAAGGGUGGUUGAUUGUGCCAGCACAGAAAAUAGAAAGUAUUAAGCAAUAAAUCUACAAACCAGAGUAAAGUCAGUGGAUAAACAAUCAUUAAGAAGGCCUACGCAAGCUAUGUGAAAUGCAAAUGCUCCAGUGUUACCCUGACUGUCAUUGCAGACUGCUGCCUUGUGUGAACUGCUGCUAUAUUUUGAAACCUAAAGAUCCAUAAGUGCUUUUUUCACCAAGUUUCACUUCUAACAGGCAGUAGUUUUCUCUGUCUGUCUGUGACACUCCCAUCUAUAAAAGUGUCUAUGUGUUCACAGUAUACAGUAUGUUAUUGGCCCAGUUAGAUACACUCAUCAACGCUGAUCUGAAAAGAUGAUCAGUGCAUUCAAAGCAGAAGAGCACGUCUUUGUGUUGCCAACAGUGCGAAAACAAACAGAUUUCUGAUGGCGAAGUGCUAAAAAUUUCUCAGCAGAGCGUACAUUGAGUGCCUGAGUCAGGGUCUCUCCAAAUUAGUUUAAUGAUGUGCUAGAGUCUUCCCAGUCUGCAGAAAGCUGUAGCCUAGCUUGCAUUCUGGUUCUCCUGGCUAGAUUCUCACUAAAGUGACAAAACUGACUUAGGGUGACCACACGUCCUCUUUUACCCGGACAUGUCCUCUUUUUGGGGGGCUGUGCGGGGUGUCUGAUCUUGUCCAGGGGGGAGUUUAUAGAAUCCUCUAAAUGUCCAGGGUUUUGUAUGGAAAUUUUGAUUUAGUGUAGCGUGGACUAACUAAGUUAGAAGCACAUAAAAAACAUAAGACCCGACCCCAAAAAAAACCUCCAAAUUUUUCGUGCGACUUUGUUUCCACCUGCGUAGAAGUGUCCUCUUUUUGGGGAUUCAGAAUAUCGUCACCCUAACUGACUAGCAUCCAUUGACACUGAUAAUAAAAAUAGUUGGUAUGCGAGUAACAUUACUAUAAAGACUCUCACAAUGUCCUCAAGUAGCUGCCUUCUCUAGGGGCAGACUUUACAUUAUUUUAAAUUCUGUACUCUAGUCUUGCUUGAGCAGUAAUUCGUGCAAACACCCCAACAUAUGUAAAGAAUAGUUAGGCAUGAUUAAAAUGUGUAGACAAGGUUAAAAAAAAUGUCAAGUAAAAGUAAAAUCAAAAUGUAUUUUUAAGAGAAAGUGGUGUAGUCAGUACGCGUGUCAGAUGACGGUGAUAGAAAGUGUGCAUCUGUGGAUUUGUGUGUAUGUGUGUGUUGUGGUAGGUUGUAGUGUGUAGUCUGUGUGUAUGUGUGUGUGUGUGUGUGUGUGUGUGGACUCCAGGUAAUUUAUUGGCAGGGUGUUCAAAAGAAAUGGCUCUGAAUUAUUCACUUUUUCUCUCUGAAGAAAGAUGAUUUUUUCUCUCUCUCUCUCUCCAGGCUUUUAGGGUCCAAAUUGAAUUCUCUGUGGGCUCAAUUGAUUAGAGCGAGGGAUAGUUUAAAAUAUUGAAAAAUCAAUUUUAGAUAGAACUUAAUGUGACGAUCGGUGCGGUAAAAUAAAACGAGAGGAGAUGCAGUAUGACUGAGAGUGCUGCAGCUUUGUGUGUGAGAGAGCGACUCACAGUCAGCUCUGUUGAAGACUCUCAGGAUGAUAAAGGCUUUCUUAAUUUAGCUCAGUCUUCAGAGAUGGACAUUUCAAUACGAGGAAUCAUAUCUACAGUCCUCUUAAGUGAAAGAUGAAAUAAAAAAGUAUCAUGCUCCGAGUACUGAAAGCUAAAUGAAGCUGAAGGUUUGUUGAUUUGACGAUGUUUUUAACAUUCAGGUGCAGUCUAGAUACUCACAAAGCUGCUGUUUCAUCUGCUUUUAAAGACAGAGAAUAUAAUAAAUACUGAUGGCUCUUUACUUCUAUUCACUUGAAACUUCUGUAUGAAGUUUUUGUGAAACAGACUAAAAGCAAUACAGAAGCCCCUUAUAACCUUCAAGAGGAAACAAAACCAUCAAUGAUAAAUAAUAAUGAAUUUUAAGUUAUGAUUUUUGAUGCCUAAAAGCUGUAAGGGGUGGAUGUUAGACCACAGGAUUGAUGGAUUGAUGAGUCACAUUCAAGCACACAAUGUGUGACACUUAACUUUGAAAAAGAAACCAGAAUUUUUCUUCUUUCAGAAAAAUCUAAUCUUAAGAAGUUCACUUUAUGAAAAGAUAAGUGAAGUAAAGGGAUGUAUACUUUACAUCCAUCCAGGUUAACAAAUGGAAACUCUGGGGUCUUUAGCAACGUAGUAGCUACAAGUCAGAAAACCCUAUUAUCUAGUGGUAAUUGGGAGGUCAAAUCUAACGGCCAUUGAGGCAAACAUCAAAAUCAUGACUUUAUUAUUAUUUUUUUUUACAGAGGCUGACAAAAUAACAUUUGAAAAAAAAAAUCAAAGUUAAAACUGGACACAAGGGCUUUUGAGACUGUUUUAAUCCCACUCUGUUGGAACAAACAAAUAUUCUAUAAUCAUUUUUUAACAUGCUCACUUAAUGAAAGAGAAGUAUUUGAGUUUUGAGUAUUUUAUCACUGUGAUUAACCCCACUUGGCUUUGGUGACAGAGGCAGCUCCUGCUGUUAGAGAGCACUAUGAACAGUGCUUACUACCCACUGCCACAUUACAGCUUUGUACGAUGUCAGAUAUAAUAAUCAAGAAAGAUGGUUUCAAAGUGAUGACUAGACUAAGGUAAGACAAUAAAUGAUCUGAUAUAUUUUGACACCUCCUGUCACAUGAUAGGGUUGUUCGUCCAGUUUGAUGGAGGCAAAAUGAGAGGACACUCACGGAAAACCUUCAGUUUUUUAUAUUCUCUAUCUCACAACACUGAUUGAUUUGUUUGCCUUACAAAACAUAAGAUAUGGUCUCUCAAUAGCCAUAAAUCAAAAUUAUAGUCUUGUUCUAGGCGAUAAUAUCUGACGAGGGGUUCAGUUAUCCGUGAUUGACAGAUAAUAUGAAGGUCUGAACCAGUUCAGCUCUCUACAUCCUCCAUUUUUCCAGAUAACUGUAUAACUUGGACAAGUCGGUUUCUCUGACCCAGCCAUUUAGCUUAACUGUGAGCCAGAGAGUUAAUGUCACACUAGCAGCAGUCAAAAUGAAUAACACUGCACAUGUGGACAAACAGCAUGUCAAUCCAGAGGAACAAGUUAAAGUUGAAAGGUAUUUUUAUAACAUUAUAUAUUAUAGAGAGGUUUGCAUAUUCAUGGGUGUGGAUGAUGAGACUGACAGGUAUUGUAGCAGUUUGACAUGAGAUGAAAAGUCCACCAAUGUACUGUGUGUGUACUUUGAUGUCACUGUGUAUGUGCACAGUCAAAGAGGUGAGGUUACAGCUUGAUUUUGCGAUUCAACUGGAGCACUUUUACGGUCUUUUUUCAGUCCAUAACUUAAAGAAAUUUGACUUUGACCAGUUUCAUUUGAAAUAAUGCAACAAAUUAAUGUUUUAUCACGGCAUGUAAACACACCAGCUAAGAAGAUGUCCUUGUUUUCUGCAGUCUACUGUUUAGAAAUGACCAUCUUUAGUCUUGAGUUUAAACUUCAAUCAACUGAGGUCUCUGUUUUCAGUAUUUCAUGGGUCCCCUAACUGAGCGAUACUACUGUUAGUGUAGCAAAAGACUUUCAAACACAUUAGAAAUACUUUGAUGUUUUGGCCCUCCAGGUGUAAAUCCCUGCAUUUCUCUGAUGUUCCACACAGUUUGCUCAUGACUUACACUGUACUAUGAUCUGUAGCAUACAUUUAGACCAAAAUAUUGAGCAAUUUGAUCUUUUUUUUUUUCUGUUACAGUCCUCAACGUUUAAAAUAGAUUAUAACUAUCGUUGUAAAUUUGGUAGAAAAAAAAGACAGCCAUGUUCACAGCAAUAAAUAACACCUGUGACACCCUAUGCAACACUCAGGACAUGGUGACCUUGACAUCCUGCAGCUACUUUAACAAAGAUCCUGACAGAAUGGUGGUUUUUAGAAUCACCUUAAAUAUAAUUGAUUUAAAGCUCUGACAAAAAGCCUGACAUCAAAUGUUUUAUCAUUUCUUGUCAAUGUGACAGUUUAUCUCACAUGUUUACCCAGCAUGCCUCAGGAUGAAAGCAGAGUGAGCACUUGGAUGUUGCUGUGCUUGUGAUUUGUGAUUUAAUAGCAAUAUACUGCACAGGAGAAAUCUGUUUGCCUUUUCCAGAUAAUCAAUUUGACAGAGACUAAACGAACUGAUUGAUUUAAAGCGGCGAGCAGCAGACACAGCUGCACCCUGAAACUUCAUCCAUCAGCGGGCACAAUUGCUUUCUUUGGCGUGUCGCAGGUACGACGUACUCCAUCACCUUCCACAAAGAGAGCAGUCUGACUAUCAGCUGCAGACUGCCGCACCAACAGCUCACUGUCUGAUAAACUCAGACACAAUCGGAGCAAAAUCUGGGUCAUUACUGUAAAAAUGUAAUUUACAAUGAUUAAAACAUCCAUGAUUUGACUAAAAGGCACGGAAACAAUUUAUUUGGAUGAAAACUCUGUUUUACCCAGAUUAACAUUCCACUCAUGAACGAUCAGUCUGAUCCUAUAUUUGUCGGGUUUUAAAACUUUAACAACACAAAUUUAUUUGAACAACAAUGACCACUUCUAAUCUCACUCUGUUCUAUCCAUUCUUCUACCAACCCAUCACACUCAGCCACCCAACUAUUAACAAAACACACUUGGUUCCUAUUAAUUUGUCUAUUCUGAGCUACUGUAGAAAAACAUUUAGACAAACUUCUGAAUGAUAUUUUUAUUUAUGUAGGAAAAUACUGCUGAAUUCUACACGAUCAAGGCACAAAGCUACUUGUGAUUUAAGCUCGGUAUUCUUUUUCAUACUACAGCUCAGAUGGGGACUUGAGAAGAGACCAUGUGCUCUAGCCAUUUCUGAUAAAUUAUACAUUGCAGGAACAAAGGACUAUUUUAGUUCCUAGAUCCCAUGUAGAGGAGCAUUGUAAGCUUUGAAGUAUGUAUUCCUCCAGCACAAGGGGGGGCUUUGAGCGGCUGAAGUGCACAUUGAUUGGUCCAUAAUGUGAGUGCAAGGCAAACACAAGAGCCAUUACAUCGCUUGUCAAUAAAAGUCAUGACAUUUAUUUAAGCUAAAUUACAACAAAUUCUACUCUGAAAUUUAUUUCAAAAUAUUUAACAAUUAAUAUUAUUAUUUUUUGUCUUUGCGGGUAUUUUUUAUUAACACUAGAACCACCGACAUUCCAAUCCCACUAAAACUGCCGAGGGGGGUUAUUUUAACCCCUUGCUCCAACAGCGUCAGUGACGUUACAAUGUCAUUUCUUGAAGAUGUCAGGUGACUUAUUCUCAUCUAUUUUUAGAAUAAUAAUGGAGACUUGGCAAGAUAAGUGUUUAAAAUGUAUAUUUUUGUAUUUUUUUUUCAACCCAAAUAAAUAAUUAUUUAAAUCAAAAAGGUAAAAUACAUUUUCAAAUUCAACAAACUGCAGGAACUGUUCAACAAAUAACAUAAUGAUUGAAUAAUAUAUUAAGAACAACAAAAUCACAGAUUUCUGUAAAAUAAUAAUAAUAAUAGUAUUUUUAGAAGAACAUAUAACAAGGCUUAAUUUGUAUGUUUUUACAUUCAUGAACAAGCUGUAGGAACUGCAAUUUAUUUUCAAUAACAAAAUAAUAUAUCUCUUGUGGCGCGAAAAACUAUGAGCGCUGCUUUGCAACUGGGAGUGGCACUGCGUGUAAAGUGACAGCUGUAAGCAGUGUUUUAUAUGAGGGAGUAAAAAUGAUAUAUAAGGUAUAAGUGUUCGUUUUAAAUUUAAUUUUAUCACACACUCACCAAAAUUUACUGAAUGAUUAAUAAAUCCAUUGCAGAAAAAGUCAUGGACUUUAAGAUGUGGGGGUUUAUUCCAACAGAAAUACAAGCAUUUGAAAAAACGCCAAGGGGGUUAAUAUUACCCCCUUGGCGUUUCUAGUGUUGAGGUUGAUGGUUGACCUCUGAAUAAGAGUCCUCCAACCUGGACCUGAAGUGGAUCUGUUUUUUUCUACUGCAGUUCAGUUUUUAUUAAAGUCCUUUUGUUUUUGCACAGAUAAACAAACAUUGACUCUCCAGCUCUGUUAGUUUACAGCCUCCACCUCUGUAUUCAGCAAGCUUUGUCGGCUCAUGUUGGUUUUAUAAAGCCCGUAUGAAAUGAGGUGUUUUCAGGUGUUAUCAGACAAAAUUACAGUGGCUGUUACACACAAAAAUAUCAAUUUCAGCACAUUGUUUGUCCCCCAGAAACCCACCUUCCUCCUGCAAUUUUCGCAAUUUGUAGAAUCUGAGUGAGUGAGCUCAGGACUAAAUAUAUUUGAGAUAAAUAAUGUUUCGUGCAGCAACUGUCAUGCAUCAGUUGUCACAGUGAGUCUCCAUCUGCAUAACAAAAAACCCCUGCCAAUUAGAUAGACGACUGGCAUUUCUCCCUGCAGCUAUCACUGUGAAACCACACUCCUCCCAAAAUAUGGAAAAUAUUUGGAUUUUCCAGGAAAUGGAUGCUGCCUCUCAUGUAUUAGAGGCCUGAAAAAUAAAGUUUGACUGGAUUACACUUGAAAUAAAUCACCCCAACAGGGUUUUCUUGUUACCAUAAUUCAAAUCUUGACUUCAAAGAGUCAAUAUACUAACCUUAAGAACACCCUAACCACAUAUUUCCUACCUUUGAGACAUUUAAGAGUCUAAGAUGUAUGUUUUUUGUCUAAGCUUCAAAUUUUUGUGAGGUAAAAAGCAGAGGGCUGUCUUAUCAGGAGCCCUUAAUUCCCACCCUAGUGUUAAAACAUGAAAAUGUACUCCCACAGGGCUGUUAGCUUUUACCUGCUGCGAGUAUAACUCACUUAGAAAACAAUAUAGUCCUCCCAAUGACCAAUUCCAGCAUCAUAAAUGUUUAAGGGAGUGGAAAAUGAACCAAUUUACAGUUCUGUUCAGCGGUCAAAUGUGCAGGGCAGUGAUUGGAGGAGGUGAAAGAGAGGGAGGGGAUGUGGGAGGAAUUUUGAGUGACACAAAGUGAUACAGAGUCUGCACAGUGAACAGUGUGCUGAGCUGAGCUGAACUGAAAUGGUACAAGCAGACCAUAAACUGGAGACUGGCACCUGCUGCUGAAAGUCUUUAAAAUAAGCUUGAGUCAAACAAAAAGGAAGUUUGGCUCACAGAGGAUCAUCUGCAAAGUUCGAGAAAGGCCGAUCCUGCUGGAAGAGCAAAGAUGUUUUAUCACUAUAAGCAAUUUGAAUGCAUAUAAAAGUACAAGAUGGAAGUACUAUCUGCUCCACCUCCUUCCUCAACUCUCCAUGCUGCAUUAUAAUUCAGUUUAGUUCUGUAUUUGAUGAGGAAGUUUAGCUAUCUUUUUAACAUAUUGAAAAUAUUGCGAAUUGCUAAAUUCAUUGUUUUUGUAUUUUUGCUUUUACAGCAGUCCUAUUGGUGGUAUAUGGAAGAGUAGCCUUUUAUUUUACUUACUUGUUUUCUGCUGUUUUAGGUUGGGUAGUUAAGUAAGAUGUUUGUAUUUUAUUUCAGUUAUUUUGAAGAGGAAGGGUAAAGAGAUAUUUUAUAUUUUUAUAGAUAUUUAUUAAAAGACUAUUCGAACCCCCAUAUCUUUUUUCAAUCAACGUAGGCUGUGAUCGGAAAAUUAUCCAAAUGAUCUAUUCUUUAACAGGUUUGAUUUGGUUAUCCACAAGAAAAGAAAAAAGGGGGCAAAACUCUAAAACUGCUACUAGAGAGUUAAAUAGAUCCAUUAUUCAACAGAUGUGGACACUUCAUUGCUCUUAAAAAUAUGUGACUCAGCAGUGGCUGAGGAUCAAUGAGACAAUGUUCAUAAAACUGUAAAAUAAGUAAUUGAAAAUCUUAAAAAACAUCAUUUUUAAUAUUGGUUAAGUUCAUGUUUAGUGAUUUAAAACCUGCAGGUGUUCUCAGAUCCUCAGACUGCAGCUGUGACUAAAGGCUGACUCAUCCUUGUGUAGCUGUAUUCAUAAAGCUUACUACAAAGAAGUGCUCCUCAGGAUGAAACUCCAAGGAGACUUACCCAUGACAUUUUCUGGGAAUUUCCCCCCUAAGGUUCAGACUAAAUCCUGGUAAAGAUUAAAGUUACUCUCAAAGUCUCUUAGCCCCAGAAAGUUUCUAAGGCAAAAAAAAAAAAUUAAAAAAAAAAUGUUAGGGGUAGUGAGGAGGAGUUUUAUGCGUUUUCAGUUCUCAAGCAGAGGGGAAAGUGGUGGAAAGACCAGUAAUGACCAGAGGUCAAUUAAACUGCACUGACUGGAUCAUGCAGUGAUCAAGUCUCUGUUCACAUCUCCAAACCAACACAACAGCACAAACUCACCAGAGAGGAAAAUGAUCAGAUUUUAGGGUAUUUUACAAGUAGUAAAAUACAACUUGAAAAAAUGCAGCAGUUUCACGCUCGAUUAUGUUCUGUGGAUGAUCAGAGAGAGACAGAACAGCUGACGUUUCUGUCUGAUUGUCUACAGAGGGGUUCAAAGCAGGUGCAGAUAGCACACUGAUCAAUCAGUCAAUCAUAAAAGGUGAUCAUAUGGGUAAAAGUGGUGGUGAAACACUGGAAAAAGCAAGGGCUAGAUGUGCACCAUUAAAAUCAUCUAAAGAUUCCAGCUUCUUUGUUUGCAUGUUGGAUGAAGUUGUGCAUGAAAAAGCAUCAAGCACUUCAUUUUGAUAUGCACAGAGCUGUUACAUAGGUCUAAAGUGUGGAUGAAGUAGUAGUUGUUCCCUAUCAUGAUUAAUCCUGUAUGGAGGAAACUAAAACUUGUUCUAAAAGCAAAAUUGAAAUCAAAAGAAUUAAAGGUACGUUGCGUAGAAUUUCGCAGCAUUUUCCCAAAGACAUGGAAUACAUUAAGUAGUUUGUUUAAAUAAGUUUAUACCAAAUGGAAUAUCAUGAUCAUUUCAUGUCUGAUUAUCUAGAGUGAAAUCUGUUGUAGUUGUUGCCUUUGAUGGUAAAAACCUGACGAAUAGAGUAUCAAACUUAUCAUGAAUCAAUGGAACAUGAAUCUGAGUAUACAUAAAAAAAAGACAUCUUUUGAGCAGGUACUGGGAUGGUGGUGGCCGUUCUCUGAGUGGGCACUGGAGUUGCCACAAUGGGCGCUGACACAAGAGUCGACAGGGCCUCCAACAAAGGAGCAGGAGUUAGCUGGUUAUAAGGGCUGUUAACAAAGGCCUUCAGACACUCACAGACAAAAAGUCCUUUGGACAAGGUUUCUUGGCAACAUUUUACGCCAUCUUGAGCACUACCUAAUCUCAGCCCCGUUUCAAAGUCAUACAAACUAGCUCCAGUCCCUGUAAACUAAAAAAAUGUCCAAUCCUCGUGAAUGGUCAGAAAGAUCCAUCCUUAGUCAGAUCCUCCUGCUUGUGAAACACAAACAAAAAUGGAAGGACUCAGCAGAAAAGGCAACAAAACAAAAGGCAACAUAAAAACACAAGGACACAUGUUUGACAAUGGUCUGACCAUAGACUGUAUAUAGAAUGAACGCCGUCUGCCUCCUAACUAGGUGGAGCCAUCCCAUUUUUUAAAAGUUAUUAGCGGGUUCAUGUUUUCUAUGAUUGACACUUGAUACAGCCUAUGGGCAUACGGAAAUUACAUUGCUCACCCGGUGGGCACGUUGUUUGAGCAGAGCGUCAUCACAGCGACUCUCGGCGACUGUCCUGCCGAAAGCGUACAACGCUACUGCGCAAUGUUGGUUUCAGGAAAUGGAGAAAAAGAAAAAGGAGAAAUACUGAGAGCUUUUUGACUUCAAAUUCAUAUACUGGCAGAAGGUGAAACCAAGUUGUCCAUAGUUUAUCCAGUCUGAGUCUGACACAGAGGGUAGGCAACAGACUUAAUACACACAAGAGAGGGAGAACACAGAAAGUUAGACCACACACAAGGAGAGAGAACAACAACUAAAGCAGGAACCACUGAAAACUGACCUGAAGAAUAAAGUCGUAAAAACACAGAGGGGAACAGGAACAUGAGGAUGAUGGAUCAAUACACACAGAGAAAUGGCUGCGAAAAUAAAGACAAGAAAAAACUCAAAACACAUGAACUCAUCAUGACAAGACAGACAAUCAAACCAUGAGGACAACAAUACCAAGGCAGUCAGAAAAUUGAUCUCCAAUCGAUUCAUUCUGGUGUAGAAAUCCAACUUUGAGAGGUUUGAUUUAGAGUGAUUUCAGUCAGUAAUGUGUUUACAUGUUUUUUCAAUGGUCCAGUUUUAGUCACACUAAGGCGAUAAAUGGACUUUUGAACCACAUGAAAACUUAGUGACUGUUAGGAAAAGGUGACCGAAACGGAGAUUUUUAAUGAUUUCAUAUAGCACUUUAUCAGAGACUCUUAAAGCGCUUCACAUUGGAUAUAUCCAAGGACACAACAGACAGACUACAGAUAGGGUGGGGAUGGAGCUGCCAACCCUCCAGUUAUUGGACAACCUCUCUACCGCCUAAGCUACUGUCGCCCCUAUGAGAGAUGUUGAACCUAUCUAUCUAUCUAUCUAUCUAUCUAUCUAUCUAUCUAUCUAUCUAUCUAUCUAUCUAUCUAUCUAUCUAUCUAUCUAUCUAUCUAUCUAUCUACCUACCUACCUACCUACCUAUCUAUCUAUCUACCUACCUACCUACCUAUCUAUCUUCCUACCUACCUACCUACCUACCUACCUACCUGAUGUAAUUUAGUCUUGAAUGGUUUGUUGUGUGUUUGUCUUCCUCUAUCGUCUGUGUUUUCUCUUUUUUCUCUCUUGUUUUUCCAGAGCAGCUGUGGAGCUGGGGUUGAGUCGGUGCUGAAGUCCGCUGUAAUGCUCCUAACCUUCAUUUGACUGGAGGAUUUGCUGCCUGCCAACUGCCUCAUGAAAGGUUUGUUGUCACUGCCUGAUAUUGUGUGCUGUCUGGAGCUGAGUCCAUUGUUGUGCCGAUAGAAGGGGAUCUGUGAAGGACUGAUCUGUGCUCUCACUCUUCCAUCAAAACAACACUGUCUGUGCUGUGAGGUGACUGUUAUCACUCAGAGAAAUGUCCACAAAGACAAACACAGACUGAACCAGCAAACCUUUUAGGGUUAAUGUUCUGCUUUUUUUUUAUUAUUACAGCUGCUCCGAGCUGAG